AGAGCGAACGCUGGCGGCAGGCCUAACACAUGCAAGUCGAGCGCCCCGCAAGGGGAGCGGCAGACGGGAGAGUAACACGUGGGAACGUACCCUUUGGUUCGGAACAACACAGGGAAACUUGUGCUAAUACCGGAUAAGCCCUUACGGGGAAAGAUUUAUCGCCAAAGGAUCGGCCCGCGUCUGAUUAGCUUGUUGGUGAGGUAACGGCUCACCAAGGCUACGAUCAGUAGCUGGUCUGAGAGGAUGAUCAGCCUCACUGGGACUGAGACACGGCCCAGACUCCUACGGGAGGCAGCAGUGGGGAAUAUUGGACAAUGGGCGCAAGCCUGAUCCAGCCAUGCCGCGUGGAUGAUGAAGGCCUUAGGGUUGUAAAGUCCUUUUAACGGGGAGAUAAUGACGGUACCGUAGAAUAAGCCCCGGCUAACUUCGUGCCAGCAGCCGC
rnacentral:rRNA from 1 species